rnacentral:tRNA from 1 species
UGUUCUGUGGCUUAGUUGGUUAAAGCGACGGUCCAGCGAAUAUGGAUCCGUGGGUUCGAAUCCCACCAGAACGU